GGGCAUUUGGUCUAGUGGUAUGAUUCUCGCUUUGGGUGCAAGAGGUCCCGAGGUUGAUUCUCGGAAUGCCCC
rnacentral:tRNA from 1 species